CCUGGAAGCCCGGAACAACCUGCCGAAAGGUAGGCUAAUACCGGAUAAGCCCACAGGAUCUUCGGAUCUGGUGGGAAAAGGUGGCCUCUGUUUACAUGCUAUCUCUUCCAGAUGAGCCCGCGGCCCAUCAGCUAGUUGGCGGGGUAAUGGCCCACCAAGGCAACGACGGGUAGCUGGUCUGAGAGGACGAUCAGCCACACUGGAACUGAGACACGGUCCAG
rnacentral:rRNA from 1 species